GCAAAAAAAAGGGAGGACCACUGCGGGCUCUGAGCAGCAAGACUUGGAGCACCGAUGACUUCUUCGCAGGACUGAGGGAAGAGGGAGAAGACUCCAUGGCUCAGGAAGAAAAGGAGGAGACUGGGGAUGACAGUGACUGAAGGAAUGAAUUGAAUCUUGAGACGGGUCCUCACCAGGUGCCUGUGGAGAAAGAAUGGAGUCACUGUUUAACCAUGGUACCUGCCUCAGCCCCAGCAGACCACAGGAGGUUGGC
rnacentral:lncRNA from 1 species